UACGGAGGUGGCAAGCGUUGUUCGGAAUUACUGGGCGUAAAGGGCGCGUAGGCGGGGAGGUAAGUCGGGUGUGAAAUCCCUCGGCCCAACCGAGGAACUGCGCCCGAGACUGCUUCUCUUGAGUCCCGGAGAGGAAGGUGGAAUUCCCGGUGUAGCGGUGAAAUGUGUAGAGAUCGGGAGGAACACCGGUGGCGAAGGCGGCCUUCUGGACGGUGACUGACGCUGAGGCGCGAAAGCGUGGGGAGCAAACGGG
rnacentral:rRNA from 1 species